CUAAUACUCCCUCCGUCCGAAAAUACUUGUCACCAAAAUGGAUAAAAAGAGAUGUAUCUGAAUACAUCUCUUUUUAUCCAUUUUGGUGACAAGUAUUUUCAGACGGAGGGAGUAUAUA
rfam:Triticum aestivum genome assembly, contig: Triticum_aestivum_CS42_TGACv1_scaffold_307292_4AS